AACGAACGCUGGCGGCAUGCCUAACACAUGCAAGUCGAACGAGACCUUCGGGUCUAGUGGCGCACGGGUGCGUAACGCGUGGGAACCUGCCCUUAGGUUCGGAAUAACUCCCCGAAAGGGGUGCUAAUACCGGAUAAUGUCUUCGGACCAAAGAUUUAUCGCUUUUGGAUGGGCCCGCGUUGGACUAGCUAGUUGGUAGGGUAAAAGCCUACCAAGGCGACGAUCCAUAGCUGGUCUGAGAGGAUGAUCAGCCACACUGGGACUGAGACACGGCCCAGACUCCUACGGGAGGCAGCAGUGGGGAAUAUUGGACAAUGGGCGAAAGCCUGAUCCAGCAAUGCCGCGUGAGUGAUGAAGGCCUUAGGGUUGUAAAGCUCUUUUACCCGGGAUGAUAAUGACAGUACCGGGAGAAUAAGCUCCGGCUAACUCCGUG
rnacentral:rRNA from 1 species